rnacentral:rRNA from 1 species
GAUGAACGCUGGCGGCGUGCUUAACACAUGCAAGUCGAACGAUGAAGCCCAGCUUGCUGGGUGGAUUAGUGGCGAACGGGUGAGUAACACGUGAGUAACCUGCCCUUAACUCUGGGAUAAGCCUGGGAAACUGGUCUAAUACCGGAUAGGAGCGUCCACCGCAUGGUGGGUGUUGGAAAGAUUUAUCGGUUUUGGAUGGACUCGCGGCCUAUCAGCUUGUUGGUGAGGUAAUGGCUCACCAAGGCGACGACGGGUAGCCGGCCUGAGAGGGUGACCGGCCACACUGGGACUGAGACACGGCCCAGACUCCUACGGGAGGCAGCAGUGGGGAAUAUUGCACAAUGGGCGCAAGCCUGAUGCAGCGACGCCGCGUGAGGGAUGACGGCCUUCGGGUUGUAAACCUCUUUCAGUAGGGAAGAAGCGAAAGUGACGGUACCUGCAGAAGAAGCACCGGCUAACUACGUG